AGUGAACGCUGGCGGCAGGCCUAACACAUGCAAGUCGAGCGGCAGCGCGGGGGCAACCCUGGCGGCGAGCGGCGGACGGGUGAGGAAUGCAUCGGAAUCUACCUCGUUGUGGGGGAUAACCUCGGGAAACCGGGACUAAUACCGCAUACGACCUACGGGUGAAAGUGGGGGACCUUCGGGCCUCACGCGAUGAGAUGAGCCGAUGCCGGAUUAGCUAGUUGGCGGGGUAAAGGCCCACCAAGGCGACGAUCCGUAGCUGGUCUGAGAGGAUGAUCAGCCACACUGGGACUGAGACACGGCCCAGACUCCUACGGGAGGCAGCAGUGGGGAAUAUUGGACAAUGGGCGCAAGCCUGAUCCAGCAAUGCCGCGUGUGUGAAGAAGGCCUGCGGGUUGUAAAGCACUUUCAGUGGGGAAGAACAGAUUCGGGUCAAUACCCCGGAGCCCUGACGUUACCACAGAAGAAGCACCGGCUAACUCCGUGCCAGCAGCCGCGGU
rnacentral:rRNA from 1 species